rnacentral:lncRNA from 1 species
CCUCUCUCUCUCUCACUCUCUCUCCCUCUCUCGUAUUCUCUCCUCAGUACCUGUAGUGAGGGGGCUUGUAAGGACCCUCAAUGGGGACGCUAAUGUAGUCAGCUUGAUCCUUGGUGAGCUUGGUGAGGUUAGCCCCAAGCUUUCCAAGGUGAAGAGCAGCCACCUUCUCAUCAAGGUGCUUAGGCAAAACGUACACCUUCUUCUCGUACUUGCCUGUUGCCUUCUCCUUCCACAGCUCCAGCUGGGCGAUCACCUGGUUAGUGAACGAGCAUGACAUGACAAAGCUAGGGUGGCCAGUAGCACAACCCAAGUUCAUGAGACG